rnacentral:rRNA from 1 species
GUAGACCUGUAUGAAGGAAAACACUUAAAUUAGCUUUCUUUUAUAUAAAAACGAAAUUAAAAGAGAUUAAAAAUCUACUCUUUUUCUACUAGACGAGAAGACCCUAAAAACUUCUUAAAAAAUUAAUUUUUUGGGGAAAAUGAAAAUUAUAUUUCUUUUUAUACAAAUUUAUAAUAACUUAAAAAUAAGUUACUUUAGGGAUAACAGAGCAAUUAGAAAUAAAAGAACUUAUUUGAAUUUUUAAAUUGCGACCUCGAUGUUGGAUUCUUGAAUCCUUUUGUUGCAGCAGAUAGAAAGGAAUAGACUGUUCGUUUUUUAAAUCAAGACGUGAUCU